rnacentral:rRNA from 1 species
UACGUAGGGGGCAAGCGUUGUCCGGAAUCAUUGGGCGUAAAGCGCGCGUAGGCGGCCCGGUAAGUCCGCUGUAAAAGUCCAGGGCUCAACCCUGGAAAGCCGGUGGAUACUGUCGGGCUAGAGUCCGGAAGAGGAGAGUGGAAUUCCUGGUGUAGCGGUGAAAUGCGCAGAUAUCAGGAAGAACACCCGUGGCGAAAGCGGCUCUCUGGAACGGUACUGACGCUGAGACGCGAAAGCGUGGGGAGCGAACAGG